UUACGCGAAGACCUUACCAGCCCUUGACAUGGUCGGACGGUUACCAGAGAUGGUUUCCUUCACUUCGGUGACUGACACACAGGUGCUGCAUGGCUGUCGUCAGCUCGUGUCGUGAGAUGUUGGGUUAAGUCCCGCAACGAGCGCAACCCUCGCCCUUAGUUGCCAUCAUUCAGUUGGGCACUCUAAGGGGACUGCCGGUGAUAAGCCGGAGGAAGGUGGGGAUGACGUCAAGUCUUCAUGGCCCUUACGGGCUGGGCUACACACGUGCUACAAUGGCGGUGACAGAGGGCUGCUAGGCCGCGAGGCCAUGCUAAUCCCUAAAAGCCGUCUCAGUUCGGAUUGCACUCUGCAACUCGGGUGCAUGAAGUCGGAAUCGCUAGUAAUCGCAGAUCAGCACGCUGCGGUGAAUACGUUCCCGGGUCUUGUACACACCG
rnacentral:rRNA from 1 species